rnacentral:rRNA from 1 species
UACGUAGGUGGCAAGCGAUACUCGGAAUCACUAGGCGUAAAGCGCAGGUAGGAGGUUUGGAAAGUCUCUUGUGAAAGCUCCCGGCUUAACUGGGAGAGGUCAAGGGAAACUACCAGGCUGGAGUGCGGUAGAGGUAGCUGGAAUUCCCGGUGUAGCGGUGAAAUGCGUAGAUAUCGGGAGGAAUACCUAUGGCGAAAGCAGGCUACUGGACCGUCACUGACUCUGGUCUGCGAAAGCUAGGGGAGCAAACAGG